GCGACCGAGCUCGAGUAUUCCGGCAAUAAUUUGAAAUGGCAAGCAGAAGGAUCUCUUCUUUCUUAUAUCGCUUACUUUCAACUUAUCUCACCUCUCCUGUUGGUCGAAGUUGAAGGAUGAUUCUAUUAUAUUUUUUGAGAGAAUAUCAUGUUAGGAAUUGAAAAAAGUUGAGGCGAUUAGCUUCGAGAAGAGCAGUGAUACGACUCCCUGUCAACUCAUCGCUUGAUGUAAUGGUUUUUGUUGUUGCUCAAUACCGUGAGAUGAAUACUAACAGCAGCAAGAACACUGCAAAGAAGAUAUAUUCUUUUGCAGGAGACUGGGCUGGUCUAAAUUUAGAUACUUUACUUUUUGAUAUAUGUUGUUGGACUGGCACAAUAUUACCAUAAUGUUGUUGGACUUCUUUUAUAUGUUGUUGGACUUCUUUUAAAUUUUGGACUUCUAUUAUAUGUUGUUGGACUUCUUUUAUUUUUUGUUCCAAUAUCAUAAUGUUAGAAUGAAAGAAAUUGCUUGAUA